GGCGGCGUGCUUAACACAUGCAAGUCGAAGCAUGAACCGGUUUCGGCCGGGGAUUAGUGGCGAACGGGUGAGUAACACGUGGGCAAUCUGCCCUGCACUCUGGGACAAGCCCUGGAAACGGGGUCUAAUACCGGAUACGACGCGUUCCCGCAUGGAUACGUGUGGAAAGCUCCGGCGGUGCAGGAUGAGCCCGCGGCCUAUCAGCUUGUUGGUGGGGUGAUGGCCUACCAAGGCGACGACGGGUAGCCGGCCUGAGAGGGCGACCGGCCACACUGGGACUGAGACGCGGCCCAGACUCCUACGGGAGGCAGCAGUGGGGAAUAUUGCACAAUGGGCGCAAGCCUGAUGCAGCGACGCCGCGUGAGGGAUGACGGCCUUCGGGUUGUAAACCUCUUUCAGCAGGGAAGAAGCGUGAGUGACGGUACCUGCAGAAGAAGCGCCGGCUAACUACGUGCCAGCAGCCGCGGUAAUACGUAGGGCGCAAACGUUGUCCGGAAUUAUUGGGCGUAAAGAGCUCGUAGGCGGCUUGUCGCGUCGAUGUGAAAGCCCGGGGCUUAACUCCGGGUCUGCAUUCGAUACGGGCAGGCUAGAGUUCGGUAGGGGAGAUCGGAAUUCCUGGUGUAGCGGUGAAAUGCGCAGAUAUCAGGAGGAACACCGGUGGCGAAGGCGGAUCUCUGGGCCGAUACUGACGCUGAGGAGCGAAAGCGUGGGGAGCGAACAGGAUUAGAUACCCUGGUAGUCCACGCCGUAAACGUUGGGAACUAGGUGUGGGCGCAAUUCCACGUUGUCCGUGCCGCAGCUAACGCAUUAAGUUCCCCGCCUGGGGAGUACGGCCGC
rnacentral:rRNA from 1 species